rnacentral:rRNA from 1 species
GAUGAACGCUGGCGGCGUGCUUAACACAUGCAAGUCGAACGAUGAAGCCCAGCUUGCUGGGUGGAUUAGUGGCGAACGGGUGAGUAACACGUGAGUAACCUGCCCUUAACGCUGGGAUAAGCCUGGGAAACUGGGUCUAAUACCGGAUAGGAGCGUCCACCGCAUGGUGGGUGUUGGAAAGAUUUAUCGGUUUUGGAUGGACUCGCGGCCUAUCAGCUUGUUGGUGAGGUAAUGGCUCACCAAGGCGACGACGGGUAGCCGGCCUGAGAGGGUGACCGGCCACACUGGGACUGAGACACGGCACAGACUCCUACGGGAGGCAGCAGUGGGGAAUAUUGCACAAUGGGCGCAAGCCUGAUACAGCGACGCCGCGUGAGGGAUGACGGCCUUCGGGUUGUAAACCUCUUUCAGUAGGGAAGAAGCGAAAGUGACGGUACCUGCAGAAGAAGCACCGGCUAACUACGUG